UCCCUUUCUCACACCGUCCCUAUUCUCCUCAUCUUCUCCGCCGACCUUCUCUUCUUUUCCUCGCGCCCCUCUCCACCCGAUCUCUCUCUUUCGGGCACGAAGCCAUUUCCCUUCUCCUCUGCUCGUCGAAGCUCGAUCCAUCGCCGACUAACAACCAAGAGCUCCACGCCUGCCUCAGCACCCGAUCGCGCCAGCGCCGUCCAACAUGUCACUAGCCGAGUCUCCGAUCUCCUCUACUCCUUACCUAGGGUCUCACCUGUAGUUUUCCUCUCCGAAAUGUCACUCCGUGCAAGUUUAUCUUCGGUCAGGUGAGGAGAUUUGAGCUCUAGUUUCGCCGGAGUUGAAUCACGGGUUCUAGCGCUCAAUCUUGGUUGAAAAUUGGUGUUCCAGACGGCUAUCUCAUCCUCCCGAGCCCUAAAGCUGAGUUUCUUUCGUCGAGUCUUCGCCAUUCGAUGUGGUUUCUGGCAUUGAGGUAGGAUAGGGUAAGAUAUUUUGGUUUUUGGGUGUAUAGCUGUGGAGAUCUGGGGUUUGAUGUCGGUAUGGGAUGUUAUGCUAACUGGGGGUUAUUCCUGGUAGUAACUCUUUGUAAUAGCCUCGGCCAUGAACCUCCAGCAACAGAUACCACCAGCAAGCAUUCCCAACAGCUUCCCUUUCUGGCUAUGAAUCAACAGGAAAGGUAUUGUGGUAGGGACCUUGAUUUACAACAACCCCCUUGACGUGGGGUUACUUUAGCACACGCUAUAUUUGAGGCAGGUUGAAGUCGUCAGGAGGUUCCAGCUGCUAGUCCCCUCUCUAUGUCGGGAUGAUUUCUAUUUUUGAUCUUUUGUUUCCUUGCUAUGUGAUCUACAGACUCGUGAUAUGUAGUCUUGCGUUUGUGGAUUUAAUAUCGAGUUUUAGGGUAUGCUACCCACAUUUUUCCUCUGCAAAUGUUUUUCUUGGGGGUUGUGAUUUUUCUCGUUAUAGUGGAGUAGGUUGUAUAUAUCUGCGAUGUUUUAAUCUCAUUUCACUUCUUUUCGUAUUAUGUUGUCAGUCGAAGGUUGUCUUUAUUAA